rnacentral:rRNA from 1 species
GACGAAGGGGGCUAGCGUUGUUCGGAAUUACUGGGCGUAAAGCGAGUGUAGGCGGUUGUUCAAGUCAGGUGUGAAAGCCUUGAGCUCAACUCAAGAAAUGCACUUGAUACUGGAUGACUAGAGGACCGGAGAGGAUAGUGGAAUUCCCAGUGUAGUGGUGAAAUACGUAGAGAUUGGGAAGAACACCAGUGGCGAAGGCGGGUCUCUGGACAGUUCCUGACACUGAGACACGAAGGCCAGGGGAGCAAACAGG